GUGCUUGCUUCAGCAACACAUAUACUAAAGUUGAGAUUAGCAUGGCCCCUGCACAAGGAUGACACGCAAAUUCAUGAAGCAUUCCAUAUUUUU
rnacentral:snRNA from 1 species